rnacentral:rRNA from 1 species
CAGCAGCCGCGGGAAUACGAAGGGUGCAAGCGUUAAUCGGAAUUACUGGGCGUAAAGCGUGCGUAAGCGGUUAUGUAAGACAGUUGUUAAAUCCCCGGGCUCAACCUGGGAACUGCAUCUGUGACUGCAUAGCUAGAGUACGGUAGAGGGGGAUGGAAUUCCGCGUGUAGCAGUGAAAUGCGUAGAUAUGCGGAGGAACACCGAUGGCGAAGGCAAUCCCCUGGACCUGUACUGACGCUCAUGCACGAAAGCGUGGGGAGCAAACAGGAUUAGAUACCCCUGUAGUCCCUGUCUCUUAUAC